rnacentral:rRNA from 1 species
CCUACGGGAGGCAGCAGUGGGGAAUAUUGGGCAAUGGAGGAAACUCUGACCCAGCGACGCCGCGUGCGGGAUGAAAGCCUUCGGGUUGUAAACCGCUUUCAGUAGGGAAGAAGCGAAAGUGACGGUACCUACAAAAGAAGCACCGGCUAACUAUGUGCCAGCAGCCGCGGUGAUACAUAGGGUGCAAGCGUUGUCCGGAAUUAUUGGGCGUAAAGAGCUCGUAGGUCGUUUGUUACGUCGGAUGUGAAAACCUGAGGCUCAACCUCAGGCCUGCAUUCGAUACGGGCAAACUAGAGUUUGGUAGGGGAGACUGGAAUUCCUGGUGUAGCGGUGGAAUGCGCAGAUAUCAGGAGGAACACCAAUGGCGAAGGCAGGUCUCUGGGCCAAUACUGACACUGAGGAGCGAAAGUCUGGGGAGCGAACAGGAUUAGAUACCCUGGUAGUCCAGACCGUAAACGGUGGGCACUAGUUGUGGGAACCUUCCACGGUUUCUGCGACGCAGCUAACGCAUUAAGUGCCCCGCCUGGGGAGUACGAUCGCAAGAUUAAAACUCAAAGGAAUUGACGG